UUUUUUUUUUUUACACCUAUGUAAUGGAUAAAUAUAGCCAAGCCAAUUGAGACGUUAAGCUGGCAUGACUGUUUUUUCUCUUAUCAAUAAGCUCAAUAAAAAAAAAAGACCAGUAAUAGUUUACCUGGUACAGUAGUUUUUAAUGUCAGUCAUUCCACACUGUGUGGACCAAGAAGUUGCUGCAGGAAGCCUCCCAGAUUGCUAAAGCCCAUGUAUUUCCAUUUCAUCUCUCAUGUUCUCAGAUAUGUCUGCUUGCUUGUGAGAUUUUGAUGACUGGAAAGUCCUAUUUUUUCUGAAUGAAAUGAGCUAUAGCACUCACAGGUUUGAUAUACAUUUGACUGACGUGUUACUGUCUUUUCAACUACUAAAUUGCUGACACAGACGUUUUCAUUAUUCUAACUUUACCAGUAUGCAGUGUAGGGUGUGCAAUAGCCUGCAGUAAAUUUAGGGAAGGCUUAGCCCUCUCUAGCUUACAUUACCCACUGCCCCUGGUUACACGCACACACGAGAAGUAACCUGGCCAGCUUCUCACUGAGGACACUUUGAAGUGAGGAGCGGAAGAAAGGAAAAGUCACCGUGACAUACUGAAGGAGAGAACUGAGGGGAGAAAGCUGACUGUGUGUGUGUGUGUGUGUGUGUGUGUGUGUGUGUGUGUGUAAAAGGCCGAAUGGGCCUGUGUGUGUGUGUGUGUUGGCACUGUGUAGUCUAUAACUUAAAGUACUCUUAUUAUUAGGUCAUCAUACCAUUAAGUUAUAGCCUACCUAUAAUGAGAACAGUUGUAUUAACCAGCUCUAAAAUAUUUAUUUCACCAUAGCCACAAAAUAGUCUGUUUAGGCUGGUUAGGGUUUUCCAGCUACAUUGUCAUCAUCAUUUCAGAUUAGCUGAAAAUCAUAUUUUCAAAAAUCAGAUUGGCUUAAAGUUUGAUUAUUAUGGUGUAAACAAUAGAAGCUAUAUAAAUACAGCGGUAGUCGUAGGUUAGUGUGUAACCUAAGUGAAAUUGUGUUCCUUGGUAAGCUAUGUUCAGGCAGGUGAAAGACAAAUGGACAAACAGGCAUGAAUGACCAACUAACAGUAUUGGCAUCUGCAGAUAUUUUUGUAAACAAUCUGUUAAUGGUAGCAAGAAUUUUUAUAUCAGUGCAUCCCUCACUUUUUUGUCUGACUGCUGCAUGUAUGCAAAUGAUGUACUGUAGUGUGUAUGCAAAUUAUGUACAAUAAUUCAUUUUGUGAACAGCAGUGAUUCACAUCUGACACAUUUAAGUUGCCGGAGUGGAAAUUCGUCUAGGGUUAGCAGGUCUACUACGGUAUGGUCCAGUCGAAACAUGCAGCCCUACAUUAGUUUAAUGGCACAUUUUAUUACAGACGAUUGGACUCUGCAAAGUUUCUGCCUCCAAACAACUUACUUCCCUAGUGACCACACCGGUGAAAUCAUUACUCAGGGGCUGAAAGAUACAUUGGGCUCCUGGAAUCUUGGAAAAGAUGGACAUGUCUGCAUGACUACAGGCAGUGGCACUAAUAUGAGCUCAAAGCUCUGAGACUGAAUGAGUGUACCAACCUCCAGUGCUUUGGACACAAACUGCACAACACCAUCGAGAAUGGUGUGAAGGAUGGCUAUAGUACAGGCAGAGCUCUGUCUGCUCACUCAUCAGCUUAUCACAGAGUCCCAAACCAGGUGGGGUUCAAGGCAAAAGAUGGUAGAGAGAGUCCUGGAACAGAAAAAAGCCAUAGUCCAUGUCUUGGGGUCAGAGAAGAAAAGCAGGCACCUUGUGCCCACCUGGCAAGACAACUUAUGUAUCAGUGAAUAAAGCUGUGAAACCACUGUGAGAUUUUACUGAUGCCCUAUAUCAAACCAUUGCUCCAUGUGUUCAGAAGCAGUCUCCUACAGCCAGAAGAGGAAGACACUGAGCUCACAAAAAACAAAAAACAAAAAAACAAACUGGGGUACCUUAAUGACAAAUACAGUGACCCUGUCACAGAUGUAUUCUUGGACAUGGCCUCACUGAUGGACCCCAGGCUCCGGACAACUUACAUUUACCAUGACUAGGUGGAACAAAUUAAGAAAAGAGCUGUCACAGAGCUGAUGUCUCUGCCUGCUGACAAAAUCACACCACAGCCUGGCCCAGCUGUGCAGGUGCACCAAGAAGAAGCUCAGCCUUAGCCGAAGAAGAAAAAAACUUUAGCAAGCCUCUUCAAGAAGAAAGUGACAUCUUCCUCCCAGUCAGAGGUAGACAAAAUUGAAACUGAGCUGGCAACCUACUUGUUCCCUAACACAGACCCAGA